rnacentral:rRNA from 1 species
AUUGAACGCUGGCGGCAUGCCUUACACAUGCAAGUCGAACGGCAGCACGGGAGCAAUCCUGGUGGCGAGUGGCGAACGGGUGAGUAAAGUAUCGGAACGUGCCCAGUCGUGGGGGAUAACGUAGCGAAAGUUACGCUAAUACCGCAUACGAUCUAUGGAUGAAAGCGGGGGAUCGCAAGACCUCGCGCGAUUGGAGCGGCCGAUAUCAGAUUAGGUAGUUUGUGGGGUAAAGGCUCACAAAGCCGACGAUCUGUAGCUGGUCUGAGAGGACGACCAGCCACACUGGGACUGGGACACGGCCCAGACUCCUACGGGAGGCAGCAGUGGGGAAUUUUGGACAAUGGGCGCAAGCCUGAUCCAGCCAUGCCGCGUGCAGGAUGAAGGCCUUCGGGUUGUAAACUGCUUUUGUACGGAACGAAAAGGUUUGGCCUAAUAAGCUGAGCUCAUGACGGUACCGUAAGAAUAAGCACCGGCUAACUACGUGCCAGCCGCCGCCGGAA